rnacentral:lncRNA from 1 species
GAAUCACCAUUAGGGAAAACGUGGAUCUGAUCCGUUUAAAAAAACAGCUUUCAGACAAAAGUGCAGCCUUGAGAGUUUCUCAGGAGAAGUUCACUGACCUGCAAAAGGCCUAUGAGAGUCAGCUGGAAGAGAGUCAGAGGUCGCUGAGAGAGAGCCAGGCAGCUCUGCUUGAAAAGGUGGAGGAGUUGACUGAACAACUAAAGCAGGAAAGACAGAGAAGUCUAGACUUGGGGGGACAGAUUGGCACGACAGCACUGUCCCUACAGACUAUGGAUAAGCUCCAGGACAGAAUGUCAGACCUGGAGGGGGAGAGAGACCUGAUUAAAGACAACUAUAAUGCUCUGCUUGAACGGACAUUAUCAGCCCAAAGCAGCCAAGAAAGACAGUUAGAGAAACAUAGAGAUGUGGAAAGCAAGAGGGAGGAUGUGAGGACACAGAUGGAAAUCUGCAGACUGGAGGAAAUGCUGCAGGCAGAGAGGGAGGAGAGAGCCAAAGUGGAUGCAGAGAAGGAAAAGCUGGAACAAAAGUUGGAAAAACUAGAGGAGCAUAAAACUCUAGAACGACGUAAGAACUAAUGCAGCUUCAGUAUCAGCAAUCGCACUGGUAAUUCUUGUUAUUCAACUCGUCUGAUCUUGUGUAUAGAGUUUAAUGGAUGGGUGACGGAUAAGGAACAGCAGCUGGAACAGGAAGUUCUCCAGUACAGAGAGCAGGUCUCUGUUCUACAGGACCGACUAGACUCUGUCACCAAGGUUAAACACAUACAAACAGAAUUAUUUCCAUUGUGUAUCUCUCUCUUUCUGCGUAUGUGUCACCUUCACUUUGUUUUCGUUUC